GAACAGAUCUUGAUGAUGCUAGGCAAGUUCCGAGGCAGAUGGUUUUGCAUAUACAGUACGUAUGGAUUUGACAGACACACUGUAUCACCGUGGCAACUGGGGAUAUACUGAACACACCUAUGCACUCAACGUUCUGUGACGUCGAUGUACUGUACAGUGGGUUCGGACGAAAUCUACAGGUGCCCCAGAUAGAUGAAUGCUCUUGGAUAACAUGCAGCAGACCGACAAAAGCUCCCAUUUCUUUUAUUUUUAGGUGACUAAUUACUGCACAUGGUCUCUAGACAUGUCCACCUUAAACAACAAUGACUGGAAAUCUGUGGAUCAGCUGUUGAUAAA
rnacentral:lncRNA from 1 species